AACCAUAGAAACCUGCGGAGUACCUGCGGAGGGAUCAUUACAGAGUUGCAAAACUCCCUAAACCAUUGUGAACGUUACCUAAACCGUUGCUUCGGCGGGCGGCCCGGGCCCUUCCCGGCGCCCCUCGGCCCUCGCGGGCGCCCGCCGGAGGUAAACCAAACUAUUGCAUUGUAUGGCCUCUCUGAGUCUUCUGUACUGAAUAAGUCAAAACUUUUAACAACGGAUCUCAGAUCGGAAGAG
rnacentral:misc_RNA from 1 species